GUGGGGAAUAUUGGGCAAUGGGCGCAAGCCUGACCCAGCAACGCCGCGUGAAGGAAGAAGGCUUUCGGGUUGUAAACUUCUUUUGUGAGGGACGAAACAAAUGACGGUACCUCACGAAUAAGCCACGGCUAACUACGUGCCAGCAGCCGCGGUAAUACGUAGGUGGCGAGCGUUAUCCGGAUUUACUGGGUGUAAAGGGCGUGUAGGCGGGACUGCAAGUCAGAUGUGAAAACCAUGGGCUCAACCCAUGGCCUGCAUUUGAAACUGUAGUUCUUGAGUGAUGGAGAGGCAGGCGGAAUUCCGUGUGUAGCGGUGAAAUGCGUAGAUAUACGGAGGAACACCAGUGGCGAAGGCGGCCUGCUGGACAUUAACUGACGCUGAGGCGCGAAAGCGUGGGGAGCAAACAGGA
rnacentral:rRNA from 1 species